ACCAUCCUCCACCAAAAAAAUGCGCGGAUGUGGCGGAAUUGGCAGACGCACUAGACUUAGGAUCUAGCGCCAUUGGCGUGGGGGUUCGACUCCCUUCAUCCGCACCAUUUUUAUUUAAUUUAAUAAACGAGCGGGAAUAGUUCAGUGGUAGAGCGCAACCUUGCCAAGGUUGAAGUCGCGAGUUCGAAUCUCGUUUCCCGCUCCAAAUUUUAUGUUUAUGUUGUAAUGUGGGUGCAUAGCUCAGCUGGAUAGAGCAACGCCCUUCUAAGGCGUGUGUCCGGGGUUCGAAUCCCUGUGCGCUCACCACAUAUAUAUUGGGGAUUAGCCAAGUCGGUAAGGCACAUGACUUUGACUCAUGUAUGCGUAGGUUCGAGUCCUGCAUCCCCAGCCAAACAGUAUGGUCUAUUAGCUCAGUCGGUAGAGCACCUGACUUUUAAUCAGGGUGUCCCGCGUUCGAGUCGCGGAUAGAUCACCAAUGGAGAGGUGUCCGAGUGGUUUAAGGAGCUGGUCUUGAAAACCAGUGACUUCGAAAGGGGCCGUGGGUUCGAAUCCCACCCUCUCCGCCAAAUGCCCAGAUAGCUCAGUCGGUAGAGCAGGGGACUGAAAAUCCCCGUGUCGGUGGUUCGAUUCCGCCUCUGGGCACCAAAAUAUGGCGGUAUAGCUUAGUUGGCUAGAGCGUUCGGUUCAUACCCGAAAGGUCAUAGGUUCGACUCCUAUUACCGCUACUAAAAUUUAAUGUGGGCCAUUAGCUCAGUUGGUUAGAGCGCCCGGCUCAUAACCGGUAGGUCUGGGGUUCGAGUCCCUGAUGGCCCACCACAUUAAAUUAAUUAAUAUAAAUUCGAGGUGUAGCGCAGUUUGGUAGCGCACAUGGUUUGGGACCAUGGGGCCGGGGGUUCGAGUCCCUUCACCUCGACCAAUAUAAGGUGGGUAUAGCUCAGUUGGUUAGAGCGCCAGAUUGUGGCUCUGGAGGUCGUGAGUUCGACUCUCAUUAUCCACCCCAAUUCAUAUGGUCUAUUAGCUCAGUCGGUAGAGCACCUGACUUUUAAUCAGGGUGUCCCGCGUUCGAGUCGCGGAUAGAUCACCAAAAAGGUGGCGACAUAGCCAAGUGGUAAGGCAGUGGACUGCAACUCCUUGAUCCCCAGUUCGAAUCUGGGUGUCGCCUCCAAAAUAUUCCAAGGUAGCUCAACGGUGGAGCAACCGGCUGUUAACCGGUAGGCUGUGGGUUCGAGCCCCACCCUUGGAGCCAAAAAAGCCGAAGUGGCGGAACUGGCAGACGCACAGGACUUAAAAUCCUGCGGGACUUACCUCUCGUACCGGUUCGAUUCCGGUCUUCGGCACUUAUAAAACAAUAUCGCGGAGUGGAGCAGUUGGCAGCUCGUCGGGNGACAUACAGGUCGAGCAAGGAUGAAAAUCGGACUUAGUGAUCCGGUGGUUCUGCGUGGAAGGGCCAUCGCUCAACGGAUAAAAGCUACCCUGGGGAUAACAGGCUUAUCUCCCCCAAGAGUCCACAUCGACGGGGAGGUUUGGCACCUCGAUGUCGGCUCAUCACAUCCUGGGGCUGUAGUAGGUCCCAAGGGUUGGGCUGUUCGCCCAUUAAAGUGGUACGCGAGCUGGGUUCAGAACGUCGUGAGACAGUUCGGUCCCUAUCCGUCGCAGGCGUAGGAAAUUUGAGAAGACCUGUCCUUAGUACGAGAGGACCGGGAUGGACGUACCUCUGGUGUACCAGUUGUCCUGCCAAGGGCAUGGCUGGGUAGCUAUGUACGGAAUGGAUAAGCGCUGAAAGCAUCUAAGCGCGAAGCCAACUUCAAGAUAAGAUUUCCCACCGCAAGGGUAAGACCCCAGAAAGACUAUCUGGUUGAUAGGUCGAAGGUGUAAGUGCAGCAAUGUAUUUAGCUUAUCGAUACUAAUAGGUCGAGGACUUGACC
rnacentral:rRNA from 1 species